AAAGACGGUUUCGGCUGUCGCUAUAAGAUGGGCCCGCGGCGCAUUAUCUAGUUGGUGAGGUAACGGCUCACCAAGGCGACGAUGCGUAGCCGACCUGAGAGGGUGAUCGGCCACACUGGGACUGAGACACGGCCCAGACUCCUACGGGAGGCAGCAGUAGGGAAUCUUCCACAAUGGGCGAAAGCCUGAUGGAGCAACGCCGCGUGAGUGAAGAAGGUUUUCGGAUCGUAAAACUCUGUUGUAAGGGAAGAACAAGUACAGUAGUAACUGGCUGUACCUUGACGGUACCUUAUUAGAAAGCCACGGCUAACUACGUGCCAGCAGCCGCGGUAAUACGUAGGUGGCAAGCGUUGUCCGGAAUUAUUGGGCGUAAAGCGCGCGCAGGCGGUCCUUUAAGUCUGAUGUGAAAGCCCACGGCUCAACCGUGGAGGGUCAUUGGAAACUGGGGGACUUGAGUGCAGAAGAGGAAAGUGGAAUUCCAAGUGUAGCGGUGAAAUGCGUAGAGAUUUGGAGGAACACCAGUGGCGAAGGCGACUUUCUGGUCUGUAACUGACGCUGAGGCGCGAAAGCGUGGGGAGCAAACAG
rnacentral:rRNA from 1 species